UACGCCAGCCUACCACGCAUAGAGACGAGGUUGUACAUCGAGCAUUACGGAGGUGCAGAUGUCGUUUGGAUUGGCAAGACCCUCUACAGGAUGCCACGCGUGAACAACGAUGUGUAUCUGGAGCUUGCCAAGUCCGACUUCAACCGAUGCCAGGCACACCAUCAGGUGGAGUGGGAAGGCCUUCAGAAGUGGUGCGAGGAGAGCGGCCUGGCGAAGCAAGGGGUGCGAGCGGGCCGCGC